UUCACUUGUGUCCGCCGGUUGCCGCUUGCGAAACACUGCCGAAAGCAGGCGUUUCGCGAAGCGCCGCCGGCGGCUCGGCGGCC
rnacentral:sRNA from 1 species